ensembl:lncRNA
AUUCACACUGGAACAACAAGCUCAGCUUCAUCAAGGAUUGGAUCUAUAGUAAGAUGUGCUAAUUUUUAUGUGGAGUCGUGACAUCACCGAUAAACACAUUGAAUUAACAGACAACCCUUAUAUUUUCUUUAAUAUUACCUAAAAGCAAUGACAUUUUGCUCAUAGUAUUUAUUUGACCUUAUUCACAAAACAUUUGAGUCCUAUUUGUAUGUAGCUUUAAUAUAAGUGCUGUAUAAUAGUUCAACAUUUAUUGUAUCGAAAUGUAUUUUCUGUGAUCUUCAAAAAAACGAUUUAUAUUUCUGUGGUCCAGUGUUUUAAUGCAUUAAUAUUUCAGCAUAUUUUUUUAUUGAUAAAGAAAGUUUACUAAUAAGCUAAAGAGCACAUUUUAAAGAGUAACCAAACACAAAAAUAACAACCAGCGCGACAGUACCAUCUCUGGUCACACAGGGUAUUGCCGUUGUUGUUUUUGAUUGGCUCAAAUCUAUGCCAUCCUUAUAUUAUUUGUGCUAUUGAGUCAUAAGGGUAAGGAAAAAUCCUGAUUUUCCAAGAUGACUAAUUCAUUCCAUACCAUAUAAUCGUCAGAGACUCCUUGAUUAUUUAUGGGUGAAUUUAGAUUGUAAUGUUAAUGGUGCUUAAACUUUUUGAGAAAUUUAAUAUUUAAUUUAUAAGGUAAUGGUAAAUAAAUAACUUGCUAUCAAAUGCUUAUCCCCACUUCACAUCUCUAUAGAGUUGACAAUGGUUACCCAAGUGGUUCCUAAUAGUCUGAAAGUCUUAGCUCCAACUUGAACUUGAACUUCUGUCAAAUGUAAUUAUGUGUUGAUUUGGCUCUUGGAGUGAGUUUUUGUUGAAAUGAUAACUCACUGUGAUAGUUUUUCUAUUUUUCUUUUGAAUGUCAUUCAGGAAUCAAACUUGAACUCACAAAAGUUUGUAGAUCUGCUUUUCACACACAUUCCAAGUCAUCAGGAAUCCGCCAUUGAAUUCCUGGUCAAAAAGUACAACUUCCUUGGAAUGUGCUUUUGGAACUUUGGAAUAAAAUUCCAAAAUCGAACUGAAAACCCCUUUAAUGCUCAAUUUAAAGCACCUUCUUCAAAGAGUUAUGUUUUUAAAACUUGAAGUUCAAUUGUGGCUUAAAAGACGUCUACCUGUGCACUAUGCAAGUAACUUACAAUGUGUUUCUGAAUAUUUUGGUUGUAUUAGUUUUUUCACUUAGUUGGCUAAGUGAAAAACUAAGUAUAAUCAUUAUACAGCUCUUAAUUCAGCUCUUUUUAGCUGUAUUGUUGAUUAAUAGCUUUUAUUGACUGACACUAUUUUUGACGGAUGUAUAUUUAUUCUACAGUAGCUGCUCAAAAGUACCUUAUUCAUGGUAGCAUUGUUGUGACUUUAUAUCCAACUCAUCCGUUCCUUUCACAGAAUUCACUGUUAGAAUUGUAGUUAGAGUUUCUCAACAUUUUUGAAGAUCUUGUAUGACAUUGCUUUUACUAGAAAAAUGACAAAUAAUUACAAAGUAAAUGGCCCCAUCUUGUAUUGAUAUACAUUUGGUUUUAAGGUAAUUACUUCCUAAGCUUGUUCAACUACCAACAAGCCUUACAAAUUAAUAUUGAAUCUGUUUUUUAAUAUUUUUAUAUCCAUCCUUUAUGAAUUUUUAUUUUAGUGUGUCUAUAUUGUCUUAGAUUUUAAAUAUAUUCUGAGAUGUAUAUAUUUCUACAUGGUGAUAAGGAUUUUAUUUAGACAUUUCUGUGAUUCAUGAAUAAAAUACACGUAAUUUUGUACCUGUAUGGUUCUGUGGCCUUAACUGUGUAUCUCAAAUAGUCAUUGUUACAUUUCUACAUGACACUAAUAAAUGGAGAUAGCGUUGCCUGACUUCAAUCCGGGUCUCCAGAACUGAUAACCGACACCUUUCCUGUACUACAUCUAGAUGGCGGCUAGGUUCUGCUCUGAGGUUAUAGUUGACAAGUAACAAUUAAACUGAUUUUUUUAUGUUUCCUUCAUGACCUAGGAAUAAAAGGUUCCCAUGGGGACCACCCCCAUCUUUUGAUUUGACUCUACUCUCAACUCAGAUAUUCACUUACCAACACAUUCC